rnacentral:rRNA from 1 species
UACGUAGGUGACAAGCGUUGUCCGGAUUUACUGGGCGUAAAGAGCGCGCAGGCGGUCGAUCAAGUCGAGUGUGAAAGCCCCCGGCUCAACUGGGGAGGGUCAUCGGUAACGGUCGUGCUAUGAGUGCAGGAGAGGGAAGUGGAACUCCGGGAGUAGCGGUGAAAUGCGUAGAGACCCGGAGGAACACCAGUGGCGAAGGCGGCUUCCUGGUCUGCGACUGACGCUGUGGCGCGAAAGCUAGGGGAGCAAACGGG